rnacentral:rRNA from 1 species
GGUAUCUAAUCCUGUUCGCUCCCCACGCUUUUGAGCCUCAGCGUCAGAAACAGCCUAGAAAACCGCCUUCGCCUCUGGUGUUCCUCCCGGUAUCUACGCAUAUCACCACUACACCGGGAAUUCCGUUUUCCCCUGCUGCACUCUAGCCCAUCAGUAUCGAAUGACUCCUCCCAGUUGAGCCGGGAGAUUUCACAUCCGACUUGACAAACCGCCUACGCUCUCUUUACGCCCAAUAAAUCCGGAUAACGCUCGCCUCCUACGUAUUACCGCGGCUGCUGGCACGUAGUUAGCCGAGACUUAUUCCCCAGGUACCGUCAUUUUUUUCUUCCCUGAGAAAAGAGGUUUACGACCCGAAGGCCUUCAUCCCUCACGCGGCGUUGCUGGGUCAGGCUUUCGCCCAUUGCCCAAAAUUCCUUGCUGCUGCC